rnacentral:rRNA from 1 species
UCAGGAUGAACGCUAGCUACAGGCUUAACACAUGCAAGUCGAGGGGCAGCAUGAGAUUAGCUUGCUAAUCUUGAUGGCGACCGGCGCACGGGUGAGUAACGCGUAUCCAACCUUCCCCCUACUCAGGCAUAGCCCGGUGAAAACCGGAUUAACUCCUGAUAGUUUCACUAGAUGGCAUCUGACGGUGAAUAAAGCUCAGCGGUAAGGGAUGGGGAUGCGUCUGAUUAGCUUGUUGGCGGGGUAACGGCCCACCAAGGCGACGAUCAGUAGGGUUCUGAGAGGAAGGUCCCCCACAUUGGAACUGAGACACGGUCCAAACUCCUACGGGAGGCAGCAGUGAGGAAUAUUGGUCAAUGGGCGCGAGCCUGAACCAGCCAAGUAGCGUGCCAGGAUGACGGCCCUAUGGGUUGUAAACUGCUUUUGUGCGGGAAUAAAGUCAGGGACGUGUCCCUGUUUGCAUGUACCGCAAGAAUAAGGACCGGCUAAUUCCGUGCCAGCCGCCGC